rnacentral:ncRNA from 2 species
UGGCUUGGUCGUUAUGAUCUGGGCCACCGCAGACGGGGACACUUCCC